UACGGAGGAUCCGAGCGUUAUCCGGAUUUAUUGGGUUUAAAGGGUGCUCAGGCGGGCCAUUAAGUCGGCGGUGAAAUUUUGCGGCUCAACCGUAAAAGUGCCUUCGAUACUGGUGGUCUUGAGUGUGGAUGAGGUAGGCGGAAUUUGUGGUGUAGCGGUGAAAUGCAUAGAUAUCACGAGGAACUCCGAUUGCUAAGGCAGCUUACUAAGCCAUAACUGACGCUCAGGCACGAAGGCGUGGGGAUCAAACAGGAUUAGAUACCCUGGUA
rnacentral:rRNA from 1 species